rnacentral:rRNA from 1 species
AACGCGAAGAACCUUACCAGCCCUUGACAUGUCCCGUAUGAGUACCAGAGAUGGAACUCUUCAGUUCGGCUGGCGGGAACACAGGUGCUGCAUGGCUGUCGUCAGCUCGUGUCGUGAGAUGUUGGGUUAAGUCCCGCAACGAGCGCAACCCUCGCCCUUAGUUGCCAUCAUUAAGUUGGGCACUCUAAGGGGACUGCCGGUGAUAAGCCGCGAGGAAGGUGGGGAUGACGUCAAGUCCUCAUGGCCCUUACGGGCUGGGCUACACACGUGCUACAAUGGCGGUGACAGUGGGACGCAAUGGAGCAAUCCUGCGCAAAUCUCAAAAAGCCGUCUCAGUUCGGAUUGUGCUCUGCAACUCGAGCACAUGAAGUUGGAAUCGCUAGUAAUCGCAGAUCAGCACGCUGCGGUGAAUACGUUCCCGGGCCUUGUACACACCGUACGUC